rnacentral:piRNA from 1 species
UCCCUGCUCUACAAAAAUAAAAAUAAAAAAUA